rnacentral:rRNA from 1 species
GCGCGACACGGGAAACUGAGUGCCUUGACAAUGUCAAAGGCUUUUCUUAAGCUAAAAAGCUAAGGAAUAAGAAGCUGGGCAAGACGGGUUGCCAGCCGGCAGCGGUACACCCGCAGCUCGAGUGGUGGUCAACUUUUAUUGAGCCUAAAGCGUUUGUAGCCGGUUUUGCAAAUCUUCAGAUAAAAUUCCUCUGCUUAACAGAUGAUCUUCUGAAGAGACUGCGAGACUUGGGACCGGGUGAGGUUGAAAGGUACUUCCGGGGUAGGGGUAAAAUCCUGUAAUCCUGGAAGGACGACCGGUGGCGAAGGCGUUCAACUAGAACGGAUCCGACGGUGAGGAACGAGGGCUAGGGUAGCAAACCGGAUUAGAUACCCGGGUAGUCCUAGCUGUAAACACUGCCCACUUGGUGUUGCCCCUCCGAUGAGGGGAGGCAGUGCCGGAGCGAAGGUGUUAAGUGGGCCGCUUGGGGAGUAUGGUCGCAAGGCUGAAACUUAAAGGAAUUGGCGGGGGAGCACCGCAACGGGAGGAGCGUGCGGUUUAAUUGGAUUCAACGCCGGAAAACUCACCGGGAGCGACCUUUGGAUGAGAGUCAGCCUGAUGAGCUUACUCGAUAGAAGGAGAGGUGGUGCAUGGCCGUCGUCAGCUCGUACCGUAGGGCGUUCACUUAAGUGUGAUAACGAGCGAGACCCCCAUCUCUAAUUGCUAACGUGCAUUCGCGUGUACGCGCACUUUAGAGGGACCGCCAGUGCUAAACUGGAGGAAGGAGGGGUCGACGGCAGGUCAGUACGCCCCGAAUCUCCCGGGCAACACGCGCGCUACAAAGGGCAGGACAAUGAGUUGCCACCUCGAAAGGGGGAGCUAAUCUCGAAACCUGUUCGUAGUUAGGAUUGAGGGCUGUAACUCGCCCUCAUGAAUGUGGAUUCCGUAGUAAUCGCGGGUCAACAGCCCGCGGUGAAUAUGCCCCUGCUCCUUGCACACACCGCCCGUCAAACCAUCCGAGCUGGUGCUGGAUGAGGGUAUGCUCUUAUGGGCAAACUCAAAUCUGAGUUCGAGGAAUGGU